GGGAGUAUGGCAGAGUAGUUAUUGCACCGGUCUUGAAAACCGAGGUCAUAGGUUUCUAUGCGAGGGUGCAAAUCCCUCUACUCUCU
rnacentral:tRNA from 1 species